AACGAACGCUGGCGGCAUGCCUAACACAUGCAAGUCGAACGAGACCUUCGGGUCUAGUGGCGCACGGGUGCGUAACGCGUGGGAAUCUACCCUUAGGUUCGGAAUAACUCAGGGAAACUUGAGCUAAUACCGGAUGAUGACUUCGGUCCAAAGAUUUAUCGCCUAAGGAUGAGCCCGCGUAGGAUUAGCUAGUUGGUGAGGUAAAGGCUCACCAAGGCUACUAUCCUUAGCGGUCUGAGAGGAUGAUCAGCCACACUGGGACUGAGACACGGCCCAGACUCCUACGGGAGGGCAGCAGUGGGGAAGUAUUGGACAAUGGGCGAAAGACCUGAUCCAGCAAUGCCGCGUGAGUGAU
rnacentral:rRNA from 1 species